rnacentral:rRNA from 1 species
CCUACGGAAGGCAGCAGUGAGGAAUAUUGGUCAAUGGGCGGAAGCCUGAACCAGCCAAGUAGCGUGCAGGAUGACGGCCCUACGGGUUGUAAACUGCUUUUAUACGGGAAUAACGCGCCUUACGUGUAGGGCUUUGCAUGUACCGUAUGAAUAAGGACCGGCUAAUUCCGUGCCAGCAGCCGCGGUAAUACGGAAGGUCCGGGCGUUAUCCGGAUUUAUUGGGUUUAAAGGGAGCGUAGGCCGCAUGUCAAGCGUGCUGUGAAAUGUCCGGGCUCAACCCGGGCCUUGCAGCGCGAACUGGCGUGCUUGAGUCCGCGGAAAGCAGGCGGAAUUCGUCGUGUAGCGGUGAAAUGCUUAGAUAUGACGAAGAACCCCGAUUGAGAAGGCAGCUUGCUGCAGCGGAACUGACGCUGAUGCUCGAAAGCGCGGGUAUCGAACAGGAUUAGAUACCCGUGUAGUC